rnacentral:rRNA from 1 species
GAUGAACGCUGGCGGCGUGCCUAAUACAUGCAAGUCGAGCGAACAGAUGAGGAGCUUGCUCCUCUGACGUUAGCGGCGGACGGGUGAGUAACACGUGGAUAACCUACCUAUAAGACUGGGAUAACUUCGGGAAACCGGAGCUAAUACCGGAUAAUAUAUUGAACCGCAUGGUUCAAUAGUGAAAGACGGUUUUGCUGUCACUUAUAGAUGGAUCCGCGCCGCAUUAGCUAGUUGGUAAGGUAACGGCUUACCAAGGCAACGAUGCGUAGCCGACCUGAGAGGGUGAUCGGCCACACUGGAACUGAGACACGGUCCAGACUCCUACGGGAGGCGGCAGUAGGGAAUCUUCCGCAAUGGGCGAAAGCCUGACGGAGCAACGCCGCGUGAGUGAUGAAGGUCUUCGGAUCGUAAAACUCUGUUAUUAGGGAAGAACAAAUGCGUAAGUAACUAUGCACGUCUUGACGGUACCUAAUCAGAAAGCCACGGCUAACUACGUG